GGUAUAGUAAUGAUUCUCAGAAGGGUAUUACAGAGGGGAAUGAGAGUGUGAUCUCUAAUCUCUCCAGCUGAAGCAUGGCUGUGUGGCCGGGCCCCUGGCUGUCUCGGCCCUAAGUCCAUGUUGAAGUGUCCAAGUGGUCAGUCUGCCCCUGGAUGGGUGAGGUGCUCAGCCCAAUAGGAAUCUGGUUUGGAUUCAAAAUCUACACAGAAAAAAAGGGAAUUGGG